rnacentral:rRNA from 1 species
GCUCAGUAACACGUGGAUAACCUACCCUUAGGACCGGGAUAACCCUGGGAAACUGGGGCUAAUACUGGAUAGAUGAUUUUUCCUGGAAUGGUUUUUUGUUUAAAUGUUUUUUCGCCUAAGGAUGGGUCUGCGGCAGAUUAGGUAGUUGGUUAGGUAAUGGCUUACCAAGCCUAUGAUCUGUACGGGUUGUGAGAGCAAGAGCCCGGAGAUGGAACCUGAGACAAGGUUCCAGGCCCUAUGGGGCGCAGCAGGCGCGAAACCUCCGCAAUGUGAGAAAUCGCGACGGGGGGAUCCCAAGUGCCAUUCUUAACGGGAUGGCUUUUCUUAAGUGUAAAAAGCUUUUGGAAUAAGAGCUGGGCAAGACCGGUGCCAGCCGCCGCGGUAACACCGGCAGCUCUAGUGGUAGCUGUUUUUAUUGGGCCUAAAGCGUUCGUAGCCGGUUUGAUAAGUCACUGGUGAAAUCCUGUAGCUUAACUGUGGGAAUUGCUGGUGAUACUGUUGAACUUGAGGUCGGGAGAGGUUAGCGGUACUCCCAGGGUAGAGGUGAAAUUCUGUAAUCCUGGGAGGACCACCUGUGGCGAAGGCGGCUAACUGGAACGAACCUGACGGUGAGGGACGAAAGCUAGGGGCGCGAACCGGAUUAGAUACCCGGGUAGUCCUAGCCGCAAACGAUGCGGACUUGGUGUUGGGAUGGCUUUGAGCCGCUCCGGUGCCGAAGGGAAGCUGUUAAGUCCGCCGCCUGGGAAGUACGGUCGCAAGACCGAAACUUAAAGGAAUUGGCGGGGGAGCAC